rnacentral:rRNA from 1 species
UCCUACGGGAGGCAGCAGUGGGGAAUAUUGCACAAUGGGGGGAACCCUGAUGCAGCCAUGCCGCGUGAAUGAAGAAGGCCUUCGGGUUGUAAAGUUCUUUCGGUGAUGAGGAAGGUGUUUUGUUUAAUAGACAAAGCAAUUGACGUUAGUCACAGAAGAAGCACCGGCUAACUCCGUGCCAGCAGCCGCGGUAAUACGGAGGGUGCGAGCGUUAAUCGGAAUAACUGGGCGUAAAGGGCACGCAGGCGGAUUGUUAAGUGAGAUGUGAAAGCCCCGGGCUUAACCUGGGAAUUGCAUUUCAGACUGGCAGUCUAGAGUAUUUUAGGGAGGGGUAGAAUUCCACGUGUAGCGGUGAAAUGCGUAGAGAUGUGGAGGAAUACCGAAGGCGAAGGCAGCCCCUUGGGAAUAUACUGACGCUCAUGUGCGAAAGCGUGGGGAGCAAACAGGAUUAGAUACCUGGUAGUCC